AUAUAUAAUGCAAUGGUCAUGAAUGGCAAGAAAACAAGUUGGUUGCUCAUAGGUCAUCCACCAGAUAGUGCGAAAAGAAAAGAUGGCUGCAAUCCGUGCUUGGCUAUUGAUUGUGUUACUAGCAUGCGUUUGCUUUGCGAAAGAAAAUAAUGCCACAGACCUCGGUUACGGCACUCUCAAACGAGGUGACGGUGUUCCUUGCGGACCUGGACACGAAAAGGAUUGUCAUCCUCAUCCAUCAACCGGGACUUACAGAAGAUCUUGCAGCAAACUCGAACAUUGUAGAGACGAAAGCGAGACUUCUGAAGGAAAUUAAUUAGCCAAGUCUAACUAAGGUGGGGAAGAGAAUGAAAGAUGCCGAAAAUUUGUUGCUUCACCCACAAUAAGUGCCAACUCCCUUGUGAGUUUUUAAAACAUGCAUGAGAAGGAGAUGAUGAAAUAUUUCUAUUUUUCGUAUUCAAGCUAUAUAUAGCAUAAGUACAUCAAUAUCAAUCAUAUCUGAUUGAUAUUUUGUGUUCAGUAAUAAGUUCCUCAAAUUAUGGAGGAAGUUGGUUGGUGCUAUAUAUGUUAUUAAAUUAUUUCAUUUUUAUCAAUUAUGUAAUACUCUCUCCCUCUCCAAUGGAGCUAGCACCGCUUCUUCGCAGAGGUAGUUCAUAAUUUAAUUAUUUGUGUCCCACAAUCCAUGUUUUAAA